rnacentral:rRNA from 1 species
AGCGAACGCUGGCGGCAGGCCUAACACAUGCAAGUCGAACGAACCUUUCGGGGUUAGUGGCGGACGGGUGAGGAACACGUGGGAACGUUCCUUUAGGUUCGGAAUAACUCAGGGAAACUUGUGCUAAUACUGAAUGUGCCCUUCGGGGGAAAGAUUUAUCGCCUUUAGAGCGGCCGGCGUCUGAUUAGCUAGUUGGUUGAGGUAAUGGCUCACCAAGGCGACGAUCAGUAGCUGGUCUGAGAGGAUGAUCAGCCACAUUGGGACUGAGACACGGCCCAAACUCCUACGGGAGGCAGCAGUGGGGAAUCUUGCGCAAUGGGCGAAAGCCUGACGCAGCCAUGACGGGUGAAUGAUGAAGGUCUUAGGAUUGUAAAAUUCUUUCACCGGGGACGAUAAUGACGGUACCCGGAGAAGAAGCCCCGGCUAACUACGUG